rnacentral:rRNA from 1 species
UGGGGGAUAUUGCACAAUGGAGGAAACUCUGAUGCAGCAACGCCGCGUGAGGGAAGAAGGUUUUCGGAUUGUAAACCUCUGUUUUUAGUGAAGAAACAAAUGACGGUAGCUAAAGAGGAAGCCCCGGCUAACUACGUGCCAGCAGCCGCGGUAAUACGUAGGGGGCAAGCGUUAUCCGGAUUUACUGGGUGUAAAGGGAGCGUAGACGGAACGGCAAGUUUGAAGUGAAAUACCUGGGCUUAACCCGGGAACUGCUUUGAAAACUGUCGAUCUAGAGUGUCGGAGAGGUAAGUGGAAUUCCUGGUGUAGUAGUGAAAUGCGUAGAUAUCAGGAAGAACACCGGAGGCGAAGGCGGCUUACUGGACGAUAACUGACGUUGAGGCUCGAAAGCGUGGGGAGCAAACAGGAUUAGAUACCCUGGUAGU